rnacentral:rRNA from 1 species
CAAGAAUAUUAGUCAAUGCUCGCAAGAGUGAACUAGCUAACUGGAAAUUACGAGUGUCUUGUAAUUAAGGUAAAGGAAAAUUAUGAUAUUACUUUACUAUUAGUGUUGUCCAAAACUGGUGCCAGAAGACUCGGUAAGGCCAGAGACGCAAGCGUAAGUCAUCUUAAAAAGGCGUAAAGGGUAUGUAGGCAGCUUUAUAUAUCUGAAAAGAUAGUUGACAUAAAGAUAGAAUCAUAUAGAGGUCACGGGUUAGAGAAUACUUAGAGGAGGGUUGGUAUCCCUAGAUACUAAGCAGAAUACUAGUUAGCGAAGGCUCUUUUCCAACUUAUGAUUGACGCUGAGAUACGAAGGGGAGGGCAGAAAAAAGGAUUUGAGACCCAAGUAUUCCUCUCUGUAAACGAUGAAUGGUAGUUGCUAGUAUAUUUAUUAGUGGCGAUGUUAACGCGUUAACCAUUCCGCCUUGUGAGUACGGCCGCAAGGUUGAAAACAAAAAAAUUAGUCGGUUUCGGAGCAAACGAAGUGAAGCAUGUUAUUUAAUUCGAU